UGCAGGGAGGGCUCCCAGCAGGGCCCGGGCUCUGCUCCAGAGGCCCAGCAAUGGCACCAGAGCCACGGGCAGGGCCUGAGGCCUGCAAAGCUCCACCUGAACACAAGGCAGAACUUCUUCCCUGGGCAGUGACCGAGCCCUGAACGCAUUGCCCAGAGAGGCUGGGGAGUUUCUCUCACUGAGGUAUUCCAGAACCUGGACACAAUCCUGUGCCACGUGCUCUGGGAUGACCCUGCUGGAGCAGGCACAUUAGGACAGACAACCUACUGUGGUCCCUUCCAACCUGACCCAUCCUGGCAGACUGUGAAGCACAGCUUCCAUUUCCACUCCUGAAAUCUUAGGCUGCUGACAGAGAAGGAUCAGCCCAUUCCAGAGGAGCUACCCAGCAGUGUCUGAUCACAUCCUGCCUAAACACUGAACCCCCCUGCAAUCUGCUGCUCAUGUUCUUUUGACUUCCAGAACUGCUCUUCAUCACUGAAUGACAGUGUGGCAAUAGCCUUGAAAAAGGUGGUGACUUUACCAGCUCCGGAAGCGUCACAAGACAACCCUGAAAAUCAAUAUUGCUGUGUAAGAAACAGGGAUAGCAUAACAGGAACAGAAGAAGUUUAAAAACGCUUCUGUGCAGCUACAAAAUUUUUCUGGAGUCAUUU